rnacentral:rRNA from 1 species
AGUGAACGCUGGCGGUAGGCCUAACACAUGCAAGUCGAACGGCAGCACAGUAAGAGCUUGCUCUUACGGGUGGCGAGUGGCGGACGGGUGAGGAAUACAUCGGAAUCUACUUUUUCGUGGGGGAUAACGUAGGGAAACUUACGCUAAUACCGCAUACGACCUACGGGUGAAAGCAGGGGAUCUUCGGACCUUGCGCGAUUGAAUGAGCCGAUGUCGGAUUAGCUAGUUGGCGGGGUAAAGGCCCACCAAGGCGACGAUCCGUAGCUGGUCUGAGAGGAUGAUUAGCCACACUGGAACUGAGACACGGUCCAGACUCCUACGGGAGGCAGCAGUGGGGAAUAUUGGACAAUGGGCGCAAGCCUGAUCCAGCCAUACCGCGUGGGUGAAGAAGGCCUUCGGGUUGUAAAGCCCUUUUGAUGGGAAAGAAAAGCAGCAGGUUAAUACCCCGCUGUUCUGACGGUACCCAAAGAAUAAGCACCGGCUAACUUCGUG